AAAGUUAAGUAGUUUAAGUUGUGUGCAAGUGGUAGGAGAGCGUUCUAUUUGCGUCGAAGGUAUACCGGUAAGGAGUGCUGGAGCGAAUAGAAGUGAGCAUGCAGGCAUGAGUAGCGAUAAUUAAUGUGAGAAUCAUUAACGCCGUAAACCCAAGGUUUCCUACGCGAUGCUCGUCAUCGUAGGGUUAGUCGGGUCCUAAGUCGAGUCCGAAAGGGGUAGACGAUGGCAAAUUGGUUAAUAUUCCAAUACCAACAUUAGUGUGCGAUGGAAGGACGCUUAGGGCUAAGGGGGCUAGCGGAUGGAAGUGCUAGUCUAAGGUCGUAGGAGGUUAUACAGGCAAAUCCGUAUAACAAUACUCCGAGAACUGAAAGGCUUUUUGAAGUCUUCGGAUGGAUAGAAGAACCCCUGAUGCCAUCGAGCCAAGAAAAGUUUCUAAGUUUAGCUAAUGUUGCCCGUACCGUAAACCGACACAGGUGGGUGGGAUGAGUAUUCUAAGGCGCGUGGAAGAACUCUCUUUAAGGAACUCUGCAAAAUAGCACCGUA
rnacentral:rRNA from 1 species